rnacentral:rRNA from 1 species
GACGACCCGUGAACGCGUUAAAGUACAAACAUCCCGGGGGGGUGAGGGUGCGUCCGCGCCCCGAGCCCCCCUCGGCGCCCUUGCGUGCGCGACCGCACCCGCUUCGCCCCCCGGGCGGGCGGGAUGCCCGGUCGCGUCGCUUGCGGCGGAACAACGAACCCCCGGCGCGAGUCGCGCCAAGGAAUCGAAACGACGACGAGGGGCUCGUCCGCUGCCGUCGCCCCGUUCGCGGUGUUCGUGCGGGCAGCGGCGCGUCUCCUCCGUCGCGAAAAAUACGAAACGACUCUCGGCAACGGAUAUCUCGGCUCUCGCAUCGAUGAAGAACGUAGCGAAAUGCGAUACUUGGUGUGAAUUGCAGAAUCCCGUGAACCAUCGAGUCUUUGAACGCAAGUUGCGCCCCAAGCCAUUAGGCCGAGGGCACGUCUGCCUGGGUGUCACGCAUCGUCGCCCCCUCCGGACCCUUAGCCCCUCGGGGCUAGGCGGGGGCGGAAAAUGGCCUCCCGUGCGCUCCCCGCUCGCGGUUGGCCUAAAAAAGAGUCCUCGGCGACGACGGCGCCGCGACGAUCGUUGGUGACGCCUCGAGCGCGCCUCGUCCACGGUCGCGUGCGCUUUCGUUCCGCCGGACCCCAUCGAGAGACCCUUUCGGCGUCGCACGAUCGAUGCCCGCAUCGCGACCCCAGGUCAGGCGGGACUACCCGCUGAGUUUAAGCAUAUCAAUAAGCGGAGGAAAAGAAACUUACCAGGAUUCCCCUAGUAACGGCGAGCGA